rnacentral:rRNA from 1 species
GUGCCAGCAGCCGCGGUAAUACGAAGGGGGCUAGCGUUGCUCGGAAUCACUGGGCGUAAAGGGUGCGUAGGCGGGUCUUUAAGUCAGGGGUGAAAUCCUGGAGCUCAACUCCAGAACUGCCUUUGAUACUGAAGAUCUUGAGUUCGGGAGAGGUGAGUGGAACUGCGAGUGUAGAGGUGAAAUUCGUAGAUAUUCGCAAGAACACCAGUGGCGAAGGCGGCUCACUGGCCCGAUACUGACGCUGAGGCACGAAAGCGUGGGGAGCAAACAGGAUUAGAUACCCUGGUAGUCC